AGUGAGGCAGCAUGCUCUGAACAUGAUGUGCUGCUUGUUCAGGGGAAGGGUAUGGCCUGCUGUCACCAAGGUAUUGAUCUUUGUUCAGAAGAACAACCCCAAGAUCUGGAAAAAUAUCCAUCUGUGAUGACUCCAUCCAUUUUUCAAAGAGUUGGAUCCCAGUGACUCAACUGAGCUGAUCAUUGGCAGGCGAAUUGGAGCCCCUUUUUCAGAAAUGGAGAGGGAGGAAGCCCGAGAACUAAGCUGGAGAAGAAAACAUGCUUGGAUAAUGUGCUGCACACUGGUGGGAGAGAUGGAGAAAGAGAGCUGAGCAAAGACAGCUCAGUUUGGGCACAUCUCUGAGGAACCAGAGCAGAGCUGCCUGCACUGGAAACGGGCGUGGUAUCUGCAGCACAGGUCUCCAUAUUUUUGACAGAGGGAGUUAGCGCAAGAAGGAUGAAAACGCUGAACCUCUCCCAGCUGUGGUAGCUGUGGAGAAGCAACCUAGGGGCUUUGAGCACCAGCCUCUGUUAGCUGUAAAUGCAAACCACUGAAAAGCACCAGAACUUUCCCACUGAAGUAAAGGCAUCAGGAACAGGAGAUUAAUGGGUUGCCAGCUGUGUUGGCAUGAUAAGCCAAGCAAGAACCUAGACUCUUUCAGUGGAAAAUGGAUUGAGACUUCAGCAGGGACACAUGGCAAAUCAGCCAGAAGCCACACAUGGAAAACUGAGCAAGGCAGCAUGGGCAAACAUUCCUUAUCUUCACUUUACGUCAAUAGAAAUGGCAUUGUAAAAGAGGCAGCAAAGUAUUGGCUGGAGGGGAGGAGGGAAAAGUCCACAAACUUUCUUGGCCGUACAUGUAUGUUUUAAAAUGCUACUGUUUUCCUCAGAAACUUGUCAUUGAAAACAAGCAUCCAGCAAAAACCACCCAGCAAGUUCUUCCAGAAGCCUUGUUUGCUUGUUGUGGUGGAUUUAGCUGAGCUGUGCUGGCAGGAAUCUGCCACUGCUGCUGUGCUCCAAAGGCGGUCAGAAAAGUACAACCUCUUAAACCAGUCUAAAGCACAGCUGUGAUAAUUACACCAUCUACUAUGAUUUGCCACAAAAUAGGGCUCAGGGGAGAGGCAGACCUCAGAAGUCUGGGCUUUCUACAAGGUGAUGUUGUCUGCAGCCAUGUCUCUAUUUCCCACAGCUCCUGCUUUUACAGCAGCCUAGCCCAA